AUCCUUUUCUACGCGUUGAGAACACCAUGCCAUCCAUACCGAGGCUUAUAGGAUAGCCUCCACAGUAUAUAAAAGAAUGGA